AUCGCUUCUCGGCCUUUUGGCUAAGAUCAAGUGUAGAAAUGGUGUCAGGAUCUCAUAAUUAUACAUUUUUAAACUGAGUGUUGGCUAGAAGUAUGAACAACCUGUGGGUUUUUAAUUUUUGAUUUACAUUGUACAGGUUUUUAAUUCAUGAAAGCUAUU
ensembl:snRNA U2 U2 spliceosomal RNA